UGGGGAAUAUUGGACAAUGGGCGCAAGCCUGAUCCAGCCAUGCCGCGUGAGUGAUGAAGGCCUUAGGGUUGUAAAGCUCUUUUGUCCGGGACGAUAAUGACGGUAUCGGAAGAAUAAGCCCCGGCUAACUUCGUGCCAGCAGCCGCGGUAAUACGAAGGGGGCUAGCGUUGCUCGGAAUCACUGGGCGUAAAGGGCGCGUAGGCGGCUAUUUAAGUCGGGGGUGAAAGCCUGUGGCUCAACCACAGAAUUGCCUUCGAUACUGGAUAGCUUGAGUAUGGUAGAGGUUGGUGGAACUGCGAGUGUAGAGGUGAAAUUCGUAGAUAUUCGCAAGAACACCGGUGGCGAAGGCGGCCAACUGGACCAUUACUGACGCUGAGUCGCGAAAGCGUGGGGAGCAAACAGG
rnacentral:rRNA from 1 species